GCCUUCGUGAUGUAGCGGUCAGCACGCUCGACGCGUAACCGAGAGAUCCGUGGUUCAAUUCCCGGCGAAGGCA
rnacentral:tRNA from 1 species